rnacentral:rRNA from 1 species
UACGUAGGGUGCAAGCGUUAAUCGGAAUUACUGAGCGUAAAGCGUGCGCAGGCGGUUUUGUAAGUCUGUCGUGAAAGCCCCGGGCUCAACCUGGGAAUUGCGAUGGAGACUGCAAGGCUUGAAUCUGGCAGAGGGGGGUAGAAUUCCACGUGUAGCAGUGAAAUGCGUAGAGAUGUGGAGGAACACCGAUGGCGAAGGCAGCCCCCUGGGUCAAGAUUGACGCUCAUGCACGAAAGCGUGGGGAGCAAACAGG